UACGGGGGGAGCAAGCGUUGUUCGGAUUUACUGGGCGUAAAGGGCGCGUAGGCGGCGUGACAAGUCACUUGUGAAAUCUCCGGGCUUAACCCGGAGCGGCCAAGUGAUACUGUCGUGCUAGAGUGCGGAAGGGGCACUGGAAUUCUCGGUGUAGCGGUGAAAUGCGUAGAGAUCGGUCAGAACACCAGUGGCGAAGGCGGCCUCCUGGGCCACAACUGACGCUGAGACGCGAAAGCGUGGGGAGCGAACGGA
rnacentral:rRNA from 1 species